GAUGCAGUUCGUUCUAUCGCUCCGUCGUUGGCGGAGAGGAAAGUCGGGACAACACAGAGCACCGUACUUCCUAACGGGAAGGGUCCAGCCGAUGGCGGGAUACAGCAAGUGCCGCAGAAAAUAACUGCCGACACCGGAGUUUUGUUUAGAUGGGUUAUUCGUCUUAUUGGCGAGGCCCACCUUCGCUAAAGCUUCGGUGGGCGAGGGUGAAAAUGUGAGGUAAGAGCUCACGUCGCGGUAUGGUGACAUGCCGGGAGGGUAAACCUUACGGGUUGAAAGGCCAAAUAUACUGAGGCUUGAGGGCUGCUCGUCCGAUCUCAGGGGGUUGGUCGUUAGAUGCCAAUGGUGACAUUGGUGCCAGAUAAAUGAUAGAUUAAAACAGAAUCCCGCUUAUUGAACUGUUGUUAUA
rnacentral:RNase_P_RNA from 2 species